rnacentral:rRNA from 1 species
UACGUAGGGGGCUAGCGUUGUCCGGAAUCAUUGGGCGUAAAGAGCGUGUAGGCGGCCCGGUAAGUCCGCUGUAAAAGUCAAAGGCUCAACCUUUGAAUGUCAGUGGAUACUGCCAGGCUAGAGUCCGGAAGAGGCGAGUGGAACUCCUGGUGUAGCGGUGGAAUGCGCAGAUAUCAGGAAGAACACCAACGGCGAAGGCAGCUCGCUGGGACGGUACUGACGCUGAGACGCGAAAGCGUGGGGAGCAAACAG